UCUGAGUGAGAUUGCAGCUCUGCUUACUGUGCCAAUAAAGAAGACAGGAGGUGGGAGGCAUGGCCGACCAUCCGCUACAACUGCUUCUCCGGACUCUGACCUAUAUGCAAUAAUGCACAGGCACUGCGAGGCAAACAGGACAUCUCCAGGGAGCACAGCUGCGCUUUCAGGCUGGAAACAAGGGACAAACUCUGUCACCCCCAAAAAAGCUCAUCCAGACAUCUGUUGCCACCCAGUUUAGCACCAAGACAUCUUACUCUGAACGUCUAUGGUGACACCAUUUGAACGAAGAGGAGCUUUUGAUGUUUAUUCAGUCCAAGGAUACCAAUACCAAGAAAAACCUCUAUGAAGGAGUGAUUCUGAUAUUCCACAUUAUAUGCAAAUUACAAAAGACAGAAGAGGAGCAGCUUUUACAAGCAUGAUCGAAAACCUCAAGUAGUUUACCACAGCAUCACUUUUCAUCAUGAAUUAAAGUUGAUCAGUUAUUCCAGGAUCACUGAAUUUCCAUAGCUAGUGCUUAGAGGUCCCAGAAAACUAUGUUCUUCUUUGGCCAUAUAGUGUCUGUAAUGAAUCUACUUUAUCUAAGGUUUAUGAGGUAGUCUCCAGGUGUGGCAUUCUAGCAGAGGCC